GAACAAUGGAUGGCCGAGUAACGACUGUGACACAAAGAUAGGUGGGCAAGUGACGAGGGUGACAAAGAUGGAUGGGGGCGGGAGACGAGUGUGAUAAAGAUUGUCAGGAAGGUGACAAGGGUUAGAAGGACGGGUGGGUCGUGUGACGAGGGUGACAAAGAUAGGCAGGCGGGUGACAAAGAUGGGCAGGCGGGUGACUAGGGUGACAAAGAUGGGCAGGCGUGUGACGAGGGUGACAAAGAUGGGAGGGCGAGUGGAUGACACACAGGCGACUUCAAACCGGCAAUGCCGUCCUCUCAGCUAACGGCGGUUGGGGCCAUGGCAAAC